rnacentral:tRNA from 1 species
AAGAUUUUAAGUUAUGUAAACUAUGGGUCUUCAAAACCUAAAAUAAAUAAAUAUAUUUAAGUCUUA